AUGAUACUGGGCGGGCUCAUCGACAGCCUGACCGGCGCGAACAAGAACGCACGUCUCAAGGGCACGGCGGUGCUGAUGAGGAAGAACGUGCUGGACCUCACCGACUUCGGCGCCACCAUCAUGGACGGCAUCGGCGACUUCCUCGGCAAGGGCGUCACCUGCCAGCUUAUCAGCUCCACCCUCAUCGACCACGACAACGGCGGGCGCGGGAAGGUGGGCGCGGAGGCGGAGCUGGAGCAGUGGGUGACGAGCCUGCCGUCGCUGACGACGGGGGAGUCCAAGUUCGGCCUCACCUUCGACUGGGAGGUGGAGAAGCUGGGGGUGCCCGGCGCCAUCGUCGUCAACAACUACCACAGCUCCGAGUUCCUGCUCAAGACGGUCACCCUCCACGACGUCCCCGGCCGCGGCAACCUCUCCUUCGUCGCCAACUCCUGGAUCUACCCCGCCGCCACCUACACCUACAGCCGCGUCUUCUUCGCCAACGAUACGUACCUGCCGAGCCAGAUGCCGGCGGCGCUGAAGCCGUACCGCGACGACGAGCUCCGGAACCUGCGGGGCGACGAUCGGCAGGGGCCCUACCAGGAGCACGACCGCGUCUACCGCUACGACGUCUACAACGACCUCGGCGAGGGCCGCCCGGUCCUCGGCGGCAGCGCCGAGCACCCUUACCCGCGGCGCGGCCGCACGGGCCGCAAGCCCAACGCCAGCGACCCGAGCCUGGAGAGCCGGCUGUCGCUGCUGGAGCAGAUCUACGUGCCGCGGGACGAGAAGUUCGGCCACCUCAAGACGUCCGACUUCCUGGGCUACUCCAUCAAGGCCAUCACGCAGGGCAUCCUGCCGGCGGUGCGCACCUACGUCGACACCACCCCCGGCGAGUUCGACUCCUUCCAGGACAUCAUGAACCUCUACGAGGGCGGCAUCAAGCUGCCCAUGGUGCCCGCCCUCGAGGAGCUGCGCAAGCAGUUCCCGCUCCAGCUCAUCAAGGACCUGCUCCCCGUGGGCGGCGACUCGCUGCUGAAGCUCCCUGUGCCACAUAUCAUCCAGGCGGACCAGCAGGCGUGGAGGACCGACGAGGAGUUCGCGCGCGAGGUGCUCGCCGGCGUCAACCCGGUCAUGAUCACGCGUCUCACGGAGUUCCCGCCAAAAAGUAGUCUUGACCCUAGCAAGUUUGGUGACCACACCAGCACCAUCACGGCGGCACACAUCCAGAAGAACCUCGAGGGCCUCACCGUGCAGCAGGCGCUGGAAAGUAACAGGCUCUACAUACUUGAUCACCACGACCGGUUCAUGCCGUUCCUGAUCGAAGUCAACAACCUGCCCGGCAACUUCAUCUACGCCACCAGGACCCUCUUCUUCCUGCGCGGCGACGGCAGCGUCGAAGGCUGGGUGUGGGAGUUCGCCAAGGCCUACGUCGCCGUCAACGACUCCGGCUGGCACCAGCUCGUCAGCCACUGGCUGAACACCCACGCGGUGAUGGAGCCGUUUGUGAUCUCGACGAACCGGCACCUCAGCGUGACGCACCCGGUGCACAAGCUGCUGAGCCCGCACUACCGCGACACCAUGACCAUCAACGCGCUGGCGCGGCAGACGCUCAUCAACGCCGGCGGCAUCUUCGAGAUGACGGUGUUCCCGGGCAAGUUUGCGCUGGGGAUGUCGUCGGUGGUGUACAAGGACUGGAAGUUCACCGAGCAGGGCCUGCCCGACGAUCUCAUCAAGAGGGGCAUGGCGGUGGAGGACCUAUCGAGCCCUUACAAGGUGCGGCUUCUGGUGUCGGACUACCCGUACGCGGCGGACGGGCUGGCGAUCUGGCACGCCAUCGAGCAGUACGUGGGCGAGUACCUGGCCAUCUACUACCCGGACGACGGCGUGCUGCGGGGCGACACGGAGCUGCAGGCGUGGUGGAAGGAGGCGCGCGAGGUCGGGCACGGCGACCUCAAGGACGCGCCGUGGUGGCCGAGGAUGCAGGGCGUGGGGGAGCUGGCCAAGGCGUGCACCACCAUCAUCUGGAUCGGGUCGGCGCUGCACGCGGCGGUCAACUUCGGGCAGUACCCGUACGCGGGGUUCCUCCCGAACCGGCCGACGGUGAGCCGGCGCCGCAUGCCGGAGCCCGGGACGGACGCGUACGCGGAGCUGGAGCGCGACCCGGAGCGGGCCUUCAUCCACACCAUCACCAGCCAGAUCCAGACCAUCAUCGGCAUCUCGCUGUUGGAGGUGCUGUCCAAACACUCCUCUGACGAGCUCUACCUGGGGCAGCGCGACACGCCGGAGUGGACCUCGGACCCCAAGGCCCUGGAGGUGUUCAAGCGGUUCAGCGAGCGGCUGGUGGAGAUCGAGAGCAAGGUGGUGGGCAUGAACCACGACCCGCAGCUGUUGAACCGCAACGGCCCGGCCAAGCUCCCCUACAUGCUGCUCUACCCCAACACCUCCGACCACAAGGGCGCCGCCGCCGGCCUCACCGCCAAGGGCAUCCCCAACAGCAUCUCCAUCUGA
rnacentral:rRNA from 1 species